ensembl:snoRNA
CUCUAAUGAUGACUCAAGUUUUGUGCCACGUGUCUGGGCCACUGAAUGCUCAUGUUGGUAUGGAGGAACUGAAAGAA